rnacentral:rRNA from 1 species
GACGAACGCUGGCGGCGUGCUUAACACAUGCAAGUCGAACGAAGAGCGAUGGAAGCUUGCUUCUCUCAAUCUUAGUGGCGAACGGGUGAGUAACGCGUAAUCAACCUGCCCUUCAGAGGGGGACAACAGUUGGAAACGACUGCUAAUACCGCAUACGAUCUGACCUCGGCAUCGAGGAUAGAUGAAAGGUGGCCUCUACAUGUAAUCUAUCACUGAAGGAGGGGAUUGCGGCUGAUUAGCUAGGUGGAGGGGUAACGGCCCACCAAGGCGAUGAUCAGUAGCCGGUCCGAGAGGAUGAACGGCCAAAUUGGGAAUUGGACACGGCCCAGACUUCUUCGGGAGGCAGCAGGUGGGAAUCUUCCGACAUUGAGGAAAGGCUUACGGAGCAACGCCGCGGGGGGGAUGACGGCCCUCGGGUUGGAAAGCUCUGUUAAUCGGGACGAAAGGCCUUUUUGCGAAUAGCGAGAAGGAUUGACGGUACCGGAAUAGAAAGCCACGGCUAACUACGUG